GGAAUACACCGCGGGGCAGAGCGGCGCGUUCCGCUCGCUUAUACAGGGUGCGGGGCCGGCAGACCUGGCGCCCGCCGUGCGCAUGCGUAUAUGAUGGGGCGCGCACGCCCCGACCUCUUAGUUUAAGGGGAGUCGCGGGUGCGGGAUCCGCCGGCCCGUGGAGCUGGGCCGUGUCCUCCCGAGCACAAGCCGCCGGUCCCGCAGCGUGUCCUACGGAGUGACUCGUCUGCUCCCUGUGACGAUGAGCCUUGCAAAGGGGGUGUUGUAAUAGCCGAUUCAGUGAUGUAUUUUUAUAUACAAUAAAAGAUGAGUUACCCAAAA